rnacentral:rRNA from 1 species
GAAUAUUGCACAAUGGGCGAAAGCCUGAUCCAGCCAUGCCGCGUGGAUGAUGAAGGCCCUAGGGUUGUAAAAUCCUUUCGUUGGGGACGAUAAUGACGGUACCCAAAGAAGAAGCUCCGGCUAACUUCGUGCCAGCAGCCGCGGUAAUACGAAGGGGGCUAGCGUUGUUCGGAUUUACUGGGCGUAAAGCGCGUGUAGGCGGGCUUGCAAGUUGGGGGUGAAAUCCCGAGGCUCAACCUCGGAACUGCCUCCAAAACUGCAAGCCUGGAGCAAGAUAGAGGCAAGUGGAAUUGCGAGUGUAGAGGUGAAAUUCGUAGAUAUUCGCAGGAACACCAGUGGCGAAGGCGACUUGCUGGAUCUUUGCUGACGCUGAGACGCGAAAGCGUGGGGAGCAAACAGG